GACGAACGCUGGCGGCGCGCCUAACACAUGCAAGUCGAACGAGAGAGAGGGAGCUUGCUUCCUCAAUCGAGUGGCGAACGGGUGAGUAACGCGUGAGGAACCUGCCUCAAAGAGGGGGACAACAGUUGGAAACGACUGCUAAUACCGCAUAAGCCCACGGCUCGGCAUCGAGCAGAGGGAAAAGGAGCAAUCCGCUUUGAGAUGGCCUCGCGUCCGAUUAGCUGGUUGGUGAGGUAACGGCCCACCAAGGCAACGAUCGGUAGCCGGACUGAGAGGUUGAACGGCCACAUUGGGACUGAGACACGGCCCAGACUCCUACGGGAGGCAGCAGUGGGGAAUAUUGCACAAUGGGGGAAACCCUGAUGCAGCGACGCCGCGUGGAGGAAGAAGGUCUUCGGAUUGUAAACUCCUGUUGUUGAGGAAGAUAAUGACGGUACU
rnacentral:rRNA from 1 species